UACAGAGGGUGCGAGCGUUGUCCGGAAUCACUGGGCGUAAAGGGCGCGUAGGCGGCUUGAUAAGCGUGCGGUGAAAGCCCGGGGCUCAACCCCGGGUCGGCCGUGCGAACUGUCGAGCUGGAGCACUGUAGAGGCAGGUGGAAUUCCGGGUGUAGCGGUGGGAAUGCGUAGAGAUCCGGAAGAACACCGGGUGGGCGAAGGC
rnacentral:rRNA from 1 species